rnacentral:rRNA from 1 species
UAGGGAAUCUUCCGCAAUGGACGCAAGUCUGACGGAGCAACGCCGCGCGAGUGAAGAAGGAUUUCGGUUCGUAAAACUCUGUUGUUAGAGAAGAACAGCGCAUAGAGUAACUGUUAUGCGUGUGACGGUAUCUAACCAGAAAGCCACGGCUAACUACGUGCCAGCAGCCGCGGUAAUACGUAGGUGGCAAGCGUUGUCCGGAUUUAUUGGGCGUAAAGCGAGCGCAGGCGGUCAAUUAAGUCUGAUGUGAAAGCCCCCGGCUCAACCGGGGAGGGUCAUUGGAAACUGGUUGACUUGAGUGCAGAAGAGGAGGGUGGAAUUCCAUGUGUAGCGGUGAAAUGCGUAGAUAUAUGGAGGAACACCAGUGGCGAAGGCGACUCUCUGGUCUGUAACUGACGCGGAGGCUCGAAAGCGUGGGUAGCAAACAGG